rnacentral:rRNA from 1 species
GGGGAAUAUUGCACAAUGGGCGAAAGCCUGAUGCAGCAACGCCGCGUGAGUGAUGAAGGCCUUCGGGUCGUAAAACUCUGUCCUCAAGGAAGAUAAUGACGGUACUUGAGGAGGAAGCCCCGGCUAACUACGUGCCAGCAGCCGCGGUCAUACGUAGGGUGCAAGCAUUAUCCGGAGUGACUGGGCGUAAAGAGUUGCGUAGGCGGUUAGUAAAGCGAAUAGUGAAACCUGGUGGCUCAACCAUACAGACUAUUAUUCGAACUCACUAACUCGAGAAUGGUAGAGGUAACUGGAAUUUCUAGUGUAGGAGUGAAAUCCGUAGAUAUUAGAAGGAACUCCAAUGGCGUAGGCAGGUUACUGGACCAUUUCUGACGCUAAGGCACGAAAGCGUGGGGAGCGAACC